CUAAUGAUAACAGGAACAGAGGUGUCAGAUGGCUGGAUUUAUGGAGGCCUUGGGCUUCUGCUUAUCAAACAAUGCAGCACCAGUACAAGCAAAGUUUUAUAGUCCAGAGAAACAAUGAGGCCCAUUAGAUUAACAAGAGGCAGCAGGAAAGGAAUGACUCUCCAGACUGAAAAGAGAACAGAUAUUGAAUGAAGACAGCACAGGCCAGUAGUAAUAUCACUGAUCUGGGAAGAUGAGUCAGCUACACCAGUGGCAGCAGCAUGGCCCAGGAAAAGGGAAAAAGAUAAGUGUGCAGUUUCU